rnacentral:rRNA from 1 species
AGUGAACGCUGGCGGUAGGCCUAACACAUGCAAGUCGAACGGCAGCACAGUAAGAGCUUGCUCUUACGGGUGGCGAGUGGCGGACGGGUGAGGAAUACAUCGGAAUCUACUUUUUCGUGGGGGGUAACGUAGGGAAACUUACGCUAAUACCGCAUACGACCUACGGGUGAAAGCAGGGGAUCUUCGGACCUUGCGCGAUUGCAUGAGCCGAUGUCGGAUUAGCUAGUUGGCGGGGUAAAGGCCCACCAAGGCGACGAUCCGUAGCUGGUCUGCGAGGAUGAUCAGCCACACUGGAACUGAGACACGGUCCAGACUCCUACGGGAGGCAGCAGUGGGGAAUAUUGGACAAUGGGCGCAAGCCUGAUCCAGCCAUACCGCGUGGGUGAAGAAGGCCUUCGGGUUGUAAAGCCCUUUUGUUGGGAAAGAAAAGCAGCAGGUUAAUACCCCGCUGUUCUGACGGUACCCAAAGAAUAAGCACCGGCUAACUUCGUG